UAUUGAUUACUUAACUGAUUAAGCACAUAUGUUGAAAAAUCUGUAUACCUCUUCCUUGUUUUGAGAAAUGUUACCAAAAUUAAUACAAAGAGAAGUGAUAUUGUGUACUAUGAUAGUGUUGUUGUUUCAGGUUAACAAUAUAAUGCUAAAACUGUAAUUAGUUAAGUUUCUGGUGUUACAAGUAUUUGUUGAACUAAAACCAUUGAUCCUAAAUCUUUUUCUUAGAAUAAAUUAAGUUCAAAUUUCCCAUUUCUUUUCUUUUCAACAAUAAACCUGCAAGUUUUUUUUACUUCAAUCAUGUUCUUGCUUGAAUAAUGCAUAUAUAUAUAUAUAUAUAUAUAUAUAUAUAUAUAUAUAUAUAUAUAUAUAUAUAUCCUCUAGAAAAUCUACUUAAAUAUCUACCUAAAAAUGUCACGUGUGUUAGAAAUUGUGGAUAAGACCAAGUUCUCAGUUUUUUGCGUGGUACAAUUAUUAUUAUUUUUAAAUGAUAAUAAUAGCAAUUGACAUAAACUCACAUGGUGUAGGGACGCUCAAACAAUGUUUAAUUUCUUUUUCCCAGCUAAAUAUUUGACUAUAUAAGGAUGAUAUAGGACAAGGGUGGCCAGCAUGGACGAGAGGGGCGGGCCGCUCAGGGCACCAAUUCUUUAGAGACACUAAAAUAAUUAUUUUUUUACUUAGUAGUUAGUAGUACAUAAAUAUUUCUUUUUAACUCGAUUUGAUUAAUUAUAUUAAAAAUAUUUUUUAGAGAACCUUAUUUACGAAUGAAUCUUUUGCAACAAAAAAUGUAAGAAAAAAGACAUUUGAAUAACUAAAAGGGCCAGAACACUAAAAGUCUUAGGACCGGCCCUAAUACGGGAAAUUGCAUAGAUAAUGUAGUGUAAUAUAUACCUACAUUUUUUAUCGGAUAAAUAUAAUCUAUUUCAAGAAUCAAAGAGAGAAUGACAGUAAUUUUGUAGAAGCAGAAAACAACUUGUGAAAAUUAGUUAUAUUAAAGAAACUAAUGACCCUAUCAUCUAACACUUGUACAACUUUUCAUGACUCAUGUCAUUAAAUAAGCUCUUUCUAAAAUCUCCUAAACACACACACAUAUAUAUAUUCUUCAACAGAACAAAAUUUCACUCUCUUACUAUUUGUGUAGGAGCAAAAGAAAACGGUAGACCAAUCCAUGUUGCUAUGCUGCAAGUUCUUUAUCUCGGAAGGACGCAACAUCGCUACUCUUGAUGCAGUUGAACGAGCUGCAAGGUCGAAUCCAGAAACUGUCAUUGUGAACAAAUUUCAUGGUAGAUCUUACAACCGGGCAAGGUAUAGCCUUGUGUCAUAUGUUUUGCAUGACUGCACAGGAAAUGCCAUAUACAGCCCCUUACAACAAACUGUGGUGGCCAUGGCUGAGGCUGCAUUCAACACCAUCAACCUUGAAUUGCAUGAUGGGUCUCACCCCCGCUUAGGUGCAGUUGAUGACAUUGUUUUCCACCCACUUGCUUGUGCGUCGCUGGAUGAUGCAGCGUGGUUGGCAAAAGCUGUGGCGGCAGACUUUGGCAACCAAUUCAAUGGUAAUUCACAUAGGACUCAAUUCAUAGAAUGUAAAAAAUCAAUGUUUGUGUUGCAUAUUAUGUAGGUGGUUUUUCCUACUAUAGCAUAAAUUUCACGUCACUCGCUAACUCCAAGUGAAAUAUAUGUUUAAGUAUUGUUUAAAAUAUUUGGUCAUUACCAACAAAUAAUAUAUGUUUACCCUUCAAAAAAAAAAUAUGUUUAAGUACUUGCUUGAUUUUAUUGUGCUGCAGACGAUUCUUAGGGUUUUCAGUAUUUUAGUAUGCACCAGAUGAUUCUUAGUGAUGCCUCUGCAUAGCAAAUUUUGCUUAAGAAAAAAAAAAAACUUUCAUUUUAGAACAAUCAAAUCCAACAAUUUUAAGGACAUCAUACUUAAUCGACGAAAUGCAAGAGAAUUUCAUCUAUUUUUCUGUUGUCGCUUAAACUUCACUUUUGUUUAUGUGAAAAUGCAGUACCUGUAUUUCUUUAUGCUGCUGCACACCCAACAGGGAAACAACUCGACACAAUAAGGCGAGAGCUCGGGUAUUACCGGCCUAAUUUCAUGGGAAACCAAUGGGCAGGGUGGACUAUGCCCGAUAUCCUACCUCAAACACCAGACGAAGGGCCUAUUGUUGUUUCAAGAGCCAAAGGCAUCUCAAUGAUCGGUGCGCGCCCUUGGGUCGGGCUCUACAACAUACCAAUCUUAUCGACCGAUGUAUCUGCAGCAAGAAGGAUUGCAAGGAAGGUUAGUGCUCGUGGCGGCGGCCUUCCUACGGUGCAAACGCUCGGGGUUGUUUGUGAGGAUUCCGCUGAAAUAGCUUGCAUGCUGUUGGAGCCUAACCAAAUUGGAGCUGAUAGGGUUCAAAAUUUGGUUGAGAUGUUGGCAGCACAAGAAGGAUUGGAUGUAGAAAAAGGAUAUUUUACCGACUUUUCGCCAGAAAUGAUAGUAGAAAGAUACAUGAACCUGAUCUCGGCUAAAAAAUCAUCACCAUAACUAGUUAUAAUUGUUGAUGAACAAUCAAAAUCCAACUAGUUAUUAAUUGGCGUUGCAAGUAAAUGAAAAUAAGUUGUGAUUGCCUUAAUGGUUGGAUUGAAAAUUGUUGUGUGUAACAUCUAACUUUGAAAAUGGAGUAUUAGCUUUUGCGGAUCAUUAAUGUAUGAUUUAUUACAAGCACACUUAUGUACAAAUACAAUGCUUGAGCUCAAUUUGCUAAUGUUGCUGCCUCCACUUCUUGCCUACAUCAUUUUUCACUCUUCAGCUUAUUCAACAUGAUAAAUUCCUCAUUGAAUUCUGAAGGAGGAGAAAGAAAAGAAGUAUCCAUUAAUCAAAUAUUUUGGUUAAAAAAAAAGAAUUGCAAUUUGCAUGCGCCUUACUUUCUCAAUUUGGAUGCCAAAAAAGAAGAAUAAAAAUAAAAAUAAUAGUAAUAGUAGGAGUAAUUUUGGAUGCCAAAAAAUUUAUAUGCAUGAUAUCCACAAAUAAAAUCCAUCAUUUACACAAAAUGGAUAGCUUAAUAGGCAUACACAAUAACAUACAUUGAUAUUUUCGGUACUUUAAAUUAAUAGAUACAGAAGUAGAAGUAAUGGUAUUGUACAUCCAAUUUAUAAUGAUAAUUAAGACGUGCAAUUUCUGUAGAGAUAUUUACACUAUAUAAAACAUCGAUUUUUUUAUUAAAAAUUUGUUAAUGAAACAAAUUAUAAAAUUAAAUAAUAUUUAAAAAAUUAUAAAAAUUAAACUUAUUGAAUCAAAUUGUUUUGUAGUUAAAAUUUGAAUCGAAACAUGAUUCAAUAAUUGUCAUUCAAAAAAUUAAACUUAUUGAAUUAAAUUAUUUUGAAUGACACGUAUUAACAAUUAGUUUUGACCUUCACUUUUAUUCCUUCAACAUUUUUUCAUUUUAUUUUCAUUCCUUUCACUUUCUUUUCUCAUCCAAACAAAAUCUUAGUGUAUAAGAAAGUUACUUACAUAGCAAGCUAGUUCAUAAAAUUCUCUAUUGGUUAGACUACAAUAGUUUGUAUGAGAAUUCUUUCUUGUAUAAAUAGAUUAUGUAUUCUCCUUAUUCAUUAAUAAAACAAUUACAUUUUCAUUCAUGUUUAUCACUUCAAAUGAAUGCAACCACUGAAUCAGUCGACACCAAAAAUCAAAAAAACUUUUGAUCUUAUCAAGGAGUUUAGAUGAGUGUCUGCCUACAAAAAUUGCUGGUUUAACAAUUGUUUUUUUGUUUAUUUUUCAAAUAUGGAAUAGUGCAGUGGUUGGUUUAAAUUUGUAGUAUUACAAGUGUAAUUUGUGUUAAUUAAAAUAAGCAUAACCAGCUAAGAGGAUCCAAUUCAGUGGAUUAACCCGUUUCAAUUAUGUGGGCUUAAGUGUCGGGAAAGUAAUAAAAUAUUAGGAAAAAGGCAAAGCGGAAACAAGCUUUUGACUUAAUUGUAUUUUUGGUCCAUUAUUUUUAUUAAUUGGUGGAACUGGUCUCUCCAUUUUAAAAGUUAACAGUUUUGGUCUAUCCAUAAAAUAUUGUCUAAAAUAUGAUGAUAUGACGGUGAAUUCUAGGGUGAUGGUUCAAUUAAGUCUCUUACCGAUGAACCAUUAUGAACAACACUCCCUCCGUCCCUCAUUAGAUGACCUAUUUGACGAUAUAUAUUAUGACUUAACAUACUUUGACCAUAUUUUUCUACUAAUUCACAAAGAUAAAUAAUAUCAUGUAAGAUGUUGUUGGAUUUGUCUCAAUGAAUAUUUUUAAAUAUUAAAUUUUCAUAAAAAAUUUUAGUAGGGAAUUGAAGAUAUCAAAGAUAAAACAUAUGCAUUUGUACGUGUGUCGGAGUCAACUAGAUCAUCUAAUAUGAAACGAAGGGAGUAAUUAAGAACCAUUGGAUCAAUAAAGCGCACGAAUCUAUUAUGCACUCUAUGCAUCCGAUCAUUUUGUCUCCUCUCUCAUCUUCUUCUAACCUGUUCCCAUCCUCUUAGUUCCUGGUUUUGCACAAGCCCUCCCUUCUACAUUAUAUCGGCAUAUUUCCUCUCGGUGUUGUGUUAGACCAACAUUAUAUCUCAUGAAAUGUUGUUUUUAACUAAAAUAUUAAAUUUGUUGUUCCAGUUCCAUCUGGUGCUACGAAGAACACAUUCAAGAUUUCAUCCUUUUUUUAAAAUUAUGAAGAUGAAAAGUUCAACUUUUUAAAUAUCAAAUCAUGUAUGCAUUAUGAAAUCAAGGAGGUGGUUACGUGCAAAAAUUUAUAACUCAAAUUGGUUUAUUGAAAAAAAAAUUGGCAUUGUUUCAAGAAGCAUAUAAAAUGCUUUUUUUUUUUUUUGAAACGGCAAAAUAUAUUCAUCGUCGAGAGGAUGAAAGAAACACCAACAACCUACUGUAAGGAAAUACAACCAACAAUACAACAAGAAAAACAACCUAACAAUGAAACAAUCUAAGCAAGGCCAUAAUAAUGAGGCCGAGGUAUACACCAGCAAAACCAAAAGCCACUAAACCCACAAGGAAGAAUAAUACCCUUAAGCUAACACCACAUGAAUACCCAUGCCUCACCACCAAGCCUCGCGCACAGCAGCAAGCACACAGCCCCACAACAUCAUCAAUUAAGGCUUAAAGCAUUAUGUUUGUUUUAGUGUGUCUUGGUCAAAAGAAUUUAUGGUGGCAGCUAUUUUUUUUUCAGAAUUUUUGGUUAGAGAGGAAUCCGAUGGGGAGGAGAAACGGAAAGGGACAUGAUUGUGUGUAGAAAUCUAAAGUUGUUUUUAUUUUUGUUUUAAGUAAAUCUGAACCAUUAAUUAAAUCAAAUGGUAUUUUAUUCAUGAUCCACCAGUGAGGGACUUAAUUGAAUCCUCACCUUAAAAUUCACAUGAUAUAUGACAUGUUUUAAACGAAGUUUUUAAGAAUUUUUUUUAUAAUUUCAUCAAUGUUGAUCUUUUAGUUCAUAAUCAUGAUUGAUGGGCUAAAACUGUCAAAUUUUUAAAUAGUGUGAUAAUUGUACAAAAUAGUAAAAGUAAAGAGAUCAAAACUAAUUAAUCUAAUUUUUUAAAGGUGUUUAUUGAAGAGGACAUAAUACUCUCUUUUAGGAUAAAGAGAUGUAUUAUAAUAUUAUUAAAUACUAUUUUGUUGUUCCACACGUUAUGAAAAAGUUAUUAUUUUUUUAUAAGAAAUUUUAAAGUGAAGGAAGACAGAUAAAUUUAAGAAAUAGAAACUUAAAAUUGAGUGUGACGGAACACUUACGAGGAAAAAAAAAAGUUAUCUAAUUAAUCAUGUAAAAGCAAUUCAGAGAUGAUAAAUGAUUAUGGAAAUGUUUAAGGAGUUCAUUUCUGUUCUAUAAAUUUGCCAACUAAAUAACAUAUAUGUACAUAUAGGAUAAACAUCGUACUGAUUGUUGAUCGAACAAUGUAUGCAACUCAAUCUUAGUCGUAAUAAUGCUAUCUUUCUUUCAUUUUAUUUUGAUAUUUUUCCGCAUUUUUAUACUAAAUGUUCUUGUCAUUGCAAUUUUACAACGUUUGUUCAUUCUUACACGUACGUUUCUUAUACUGCAAGCAAAGACUUCAAAAGGAAAGUCUAUCAAACUAAGUAACAUCUUGUUUUCUUCUAUAAUGGUGAUUGGUGAUAAUGGAGUGACUUGGUGUCACGUGGGACAUUAUUGGGUGGAUGGAAAGUGAUAUAUAUUUCACUGUACUGUACCAUAUAAAAAUUUCCACCUUGGAUACGAGUUCCCAUUUCAAGUUAGUUUAAGUAACUUUUUUUGUGAACACAAGUUGCAGCAGGAGAAGGAUCACCAUGGCUUUCAAUUAUACUACUACCAAGGUCAGAUAUCUCUUUUCUUAUGUUUUUCUUUCUGUGAUUACUGAUUAACAUUAGACUAUAAUAUAUAUAGAUGAUGGUAUUAAUUUGUUACUUCUUAUGGCAAUUUUAUUGAUUAAUUAACUGAUUGAGCACACAUAUGGUAAAAUCUACAUAAUGUUCUCCUAAUUGUUUUGAGAAAUAUUACCCAAAUUAAUACUAAGAGAAGGGUAGAGGGUAGCAGCAAGAGGUAUUGUUUGUUUAUUUAUAUGAUAGAGGUUAACAAUAUAAUGCUAAAACUGUAUUUGGUUAAGUUUGUAGUGUUACAAAUCAAAAUAUAGUUUUUUUUUUUUAAGCAAUCAAAUAUAGUAAUUGUUGAACUAAAACCAUUGAUCCUAAAUCUUUUUCUUAGAAUAAAUAAAUGAAGUUCAAUUUUCACAUUACUUUUCUUUUCAACAAUAAACCUGCGAGUUUUUCUUUUACUUCAAU
rnacentral:lncRNA from 1 species